GAUCUCAUUAUAUAUAUCUAGUUUGAUUAAGGGUGAAUUUGGACGGACAAUACGUUUACUUGCGAUUAGUAUAAAAAUAGCUGUGACAGUAAGAUUAGAUACUAUAAUAAUACUAUAGCGUGAAAGAAAAAGUAUGCUAAACGCACCGCACCCGAUCGCCCAUCCAAACCCAUCCUAAGCAUGUAAUACCACAAGCAAAAGAGAAGCUAGCCAGAAGCCAAAAGUGGGCUAAUUAAAAAAGCAUAUUAAAAGGUGUACCCAUGGAUCUUUCUCAUGGAUGAAAUUCAAAAAGUGUGUUCUACCAAAAAAAAAUUCCACUAAGAUCACAUGGAAAACUUCUAGAUCCCAAAAAUUAUUAAUACCUUUUCGGACCUUAUAUGGCAUGAACCACACACAAUCUGCACCUCUCAUAUUUUAUGCAUCAAGGUAUCAUAUGGCAACUCUUGACACCACUCUAUUGUAAGUGUUAUAGGCCAAUUUUGGGCCAUUUACAAUGCCCUCAGCCCAGUUUCAUUUACAUUAAACUAAUAUCUAUCCAAGUUAACCCAAAUUGAACCUAAAACUACCCAAACCCAUUAACUACCCACAGCCCGUUUACAAUAUUCAGCCCAAGUAACCUAAACCCAAAUACUCAACCCAAGCUCAGGAGCCCAACUUUAGACUUAGGGUUUCAGAAACUGAAACCCUAACCUUCCCACUUGCGCCGAACCUACCCACCUACCCCCAUCGACAAAGUCACCUCAGCGCCGCAACACCCAUGCCAUGGCCACCAACUCUCCCUACUUACCCUCUGUCACCGGACUGCUCCACUUGCACAAACAAGACACACAGCAGAAGAUAGAUAUAGAUAGUGUAACCAAAAUGGCUACAAAAAGGCCGAUUAAAAAGCUUUGUGGUUGUUGGAUUUUUAUUGAAAUAAUACAAGAAUAACAUCAAAAGCAAACAAAUAGUGCAAAGUCAGAUUCAAACAUCACGAAUCAGAGAGCCGAAAUACAAAAUCCAGGGUGAUUUUAAUUUCAAUUUUGUUUCUUUUUCUCACACAUACAUAUUAAAACAAGUACAAAAUUAUAACAAAAACACAAAAAACGAAAAAAAGAGAAAAAUCUUACCUCUACGGCCACCGUGUACAGUGGCCGGCGCCGGCGCCAGCGAGGCUCCGGUGGCCGGACCCUUGGCCGGAGUCCCACCGGAAAUCGCUCUGUCCUCACACUCUCUUUUUUUUUUCUUUCCCAACCCCAAAUGAUUUUUUUUCUGAUUUAAAGGCUAUUUAGAGCCCUUGAAAACGGCACCGUUUUGGGUUUAAAAUCCAGGGCAUAAAACGACGUCGUUUUGCCCUGGGUCGGACCAUCCGACUCGACCCGCCUCAGGAUCCGCGUGUUUUUGUGUGAAUGGGAUAUUUAUGCGCGUAGUCCUUCCGCUUUCUGGCAUUUAUAAUCAAGUUUUGCAUUAGUUUUAAUUUGGCCCUGAAUUUUUACAUGGUUUUCAAUUUGGUCCCGUACAAUACGGUACGUUUUGGAGGCUCGGAUUUAUUGCGCUUUUGACCCCUCCAAGUUAUGCGCGUGUUAUAAUUAAGUCCCUUUUCUCUGUUUUUAUUUUAAAUUGGCCCCACAACUCUGUUUUUAUUUGAUUUUAGUCCUUUUUCGUUUAUUUUUAUUUCCUUAUUAAAUACUCUUGUUAUUAUUAUUAUUAUUAUUAUUAUGCAUUACUUUACGUUUUAUUAUAUAUUCAUAUAUUUAUAAUACGUAUAUACUUAAUAUUUGUAUAUACUUAUGUAAUAUUAUUACUAAGAUUUCUAUUCUAAUAUGUAUACAUCACCUAAAUAUUUUAUUAUUAUACGUAUAUAUAUUAUUCAUAUAUUAUAUACAUGUGUUUUUAACACUAUACUUUAUAUAUAUAUAUCAUAUAUAUUUUUAAUGUUGUAUUAUUAUUAUGUUCUAAUACUAUAUUAUGUGUAUAUUUUUUCACACGUAUAUUAUGUACAUAUAUUUUCUAAUAUUUUACAUAUAUAUUAUCAUGUAUAUACUCUCUUUUUUUUGAUAUCAUUAGUUAUAUUCUUUUUAUACAUUAUUUCGUGUAUGUAAUUUAGUACCGUAGUUAUAUAUUUUUAUAAUAUUUCAUGUAUAUAUUUUCAUGCAUAUAUUUUCUUUUAUAUAUCGUGUACAUACACUUAUACUCUGUUAAUUAGUUUUAUAUACUAUUUCAUGUGUAUAUUUCUCAUGCUAUUUCAUAUAUGUAAAAUCCUUAUUAUUGUUAUUAAUACUGUAUAUAUUUCAUCAUAUAUGUGUAUAUGUAUAUAUAGUUUUUUCCAUUAUUUCAUUUCAACACUUUAUUAUUUGUCUCUUUUUCUUUUAUAAUGUGAUUAUACAAAUUGGUGUAUAUAUUUCUUAUGUACAUACAUCCUUCAAUAUAUAUUAUUAUGUAUAUAUUUUAACAUUAAUUGUUAUAUAUAUUUUUAUCAUUUCAUGAAUAUUUCAAAUAUUAUAAUAAUAUAUUUCUAACAUUAUUACUAAUUCUAUAUAUAUGUGUUUUGACGUACAUGUUCUUAAUAUCAUUUUUAUGUAUGUAUAUUCAUUGUUUCCUCGUAUUUGAUACUAUCAUUACAUUUAAUCUUGCAUGCACUGUUAUUACGUUUCAAUAUUAUUGUCACAUUGAUUAUCUGCUUCAAUAUGUACCUAGCUCUUUCAUUUUAUUUAUUUUUAUUCCAUAUCAAUUUUGUUUUACAUUACUUCGAAAAUCACAUUCUUGUUUCUAAUUAAUUUCAAUAAUCAAAGGCAACAUAUCGGUUUAACACUAAGUCAUCGUUUUCAUCGCUAUGUUGGGUGAACAUCAAUCGACUUGUGUUAAAACGGUAUAUCCUUAUUAAAAAAAUCAAAAAGAUUGAAAAUUCUUGUCUUUUCAAAUGAAUCACGACUAAAUGUUAUAUUGAACUCGUAUUUUUUUUUGAAAAUCAAGACAACACGUGUUUAUAAGAUACCAAUUUUGGGCGUCGCGAGGGUGCUAAUACCUUCCUCGGGCGUAACCGACUCCCGAACCCUAAUUUUUCUCUGGAUUUUAACGUAGACCUAAACUCAGCCUUUAUUUGUUUUAAUAAGAGAUCUAAUAGGUGUCCGAUCACACCUAGGAAAAAGGAUCGGUGGCGACUCCCUGUUUAUUUCAAAAAUCAAACGUCAAAUUUCAAACUUUUUUUCAAUAAAUCGCCACAAUUAGCGACCGAGCUAAGCAAAUUUUUUACGUCGCUACAGCUGGCGACUCUGCUAGGGACGUUGCAUUUUGAGAGUCGAGUUGAAUUAAACGCUUGUUGUCAAAAUUUUUAAAAUUCCUUGUUCAAAUUAAUGUUUAGUCGUGAUCCUAAAAUUGUGUUUUUGAAAAAUCAUGCAUUUGCAUCGUGUUGUAUAUAUUCUUCUAACUUGUUUUGUCUGGUUGUUUUAAAGCUUUAAAUUUUUAUGGUUUUAGUUUUGAUUUAAUUUUUUUUACUAAAACGUAAAGGUUUGUGAGUUUCUCCCCACACACCGUGCACGUGCAUUCUUGCAUAACAUGAGCUCUAUACCCAGGCUCCGUCCGUUUAAGUGAAAGUAAACGCUAUGCCUUCGUGAGUUAACUCGUCUUUUCGUAUAGGCUAGUGAAUACUUUCGGGAUACAUAUGGCUUAUGCUUUCGUGAGUUAACUUGUCCAUUCGCAUAGGCAUAAGUAAAUGUAAUCCCUCGAAUUGAACUCGUGAGCCUGUGAUGGGCUACGACCGAGGCUUCAUACUGAUCUUAGUAGAUGACAGUACGGACAAUUCGAGUACCUAUCUAGAACCGAAACCGCAUAUAGUGAACCGUACGAGCCACCUAACUAGAGCCAUGUCGAACCUCCAUCCGUUAAUGGUCACCAAAAUAAAUACAUGGGAGAAACGCCUCUUCCCUUUUAUUUUUUUGACAUUUACACUUUCUAUUUUGAUUUUCCGUAAUUCAUAUUUGUUAUACUAACUAAGAUAUUUGUCUGUGUUCUUAUUUUGCAUCAUGCAUUAUAGGCAUCAUAUUAGGAAUGUGUUGACUAGAGAUUGGAUGCCAAAAAAACGGGUUUCUAAUGGAAGAGUCAAUUAUGCAAACAACCGAGAAGAAUGCCGUGGUUCGGAACUGGUCUCUAAAAACUCAGAAAGAAAAAGGGGAUAGUCUAGUGGAGGGAUGUAUUACUAAUCUGCCCGAGCACGUAACUGUGAAUGUUUGCCAGAAUAACCUUGAAGAUUUGGUUCGGGUUUAGAAUCAGUGGGAUUCCGACACUAGGGGUAUCUUUACCGAGAGAUAUGAAGACAUAGCCAAUUUGAUCGCUGUCAACGUAGACGAACGAUUGAUCCAAGCCAUGGUCAGAUUUUGGGAUCCGGCUUACCAAUGUUUUACCUUCAAUCUAGAAGAUAUGACUCCGACUAUAGAGGAGUACGUUGCUUUGAUUCGUGUUGAAAAUGCGCAAUUCUAUAAAGUAUAUGUGAAGGAGCCUAAGCCGAUGACCUUCAAGAAGAAGUUAGUGAGAUUGACAGAUAUGACUGACGCAUGGGCCGAAAAACAGAUAAAGAAGAAAAAUGAAACAAUUUGCAUUCCAUGGUCUUCCCUACAAGAAUUGGUUCUGAACCAUCCUGACAUGUUGAAAAGGGUAAAUCUGUUUGUUUUGGCCAUUUACGGUUUGAUCAUCUUCCCGAAAGUCCUUGGACACAUAGAAGUUGCGGUGGUGGAUUUUUUAAAAAAAUUAAAACAAGGAAUCAACCCCGUCCCGACUAUCCUAGCCGAGACCUUCAGAUCCUUAAACAGUUGUAGGAAAAUGGGGAAAGGACACUUUAUCGGAUGCGCGCAGUUACUAAAUGUCUGGAUUUUGAGUCACUUCUGGAAAGUAGAGCGCACACCGUUCCAUAUGUUUUCAAAAAUAUUUGCCCCGUUGGAAGCUUAUCUCAAGAAAGAAUGGCCAAAGGAAGUCACUGAACAGCAUUGGGUCUAAGUUUUUCAGAACCUUCGCGCCAAGGAUAUAACAUGGAGAGCACCGUGAAUCCGCCCUUCGGUUCUAUUAUACAAGGUUGGAAAUCAAGAUUGGGUACCACUACUCGGGUUAUAGGGAGGAGUUGGAUAUGCCCCUGAUAAUACUCUAAAAUGACGUGUUUUUAUACAUUAAUCAUGUGUUUAUUUUGAGCUUGAGCCUACUAAUUUGAGCUAUUUAUGUCUUUUUAUCUUUUAGGGACUAAAUUGGAGGCGAAAAGUAAAUUCAAGGGAAAAAGUGUCAAUUUGGAGAUUAAAUGGGCCAAUAUGCAAUGUGGGACAAAUAUGGUGCCAAAAGUGCGAACAUGGAAGGCACAAGGACUUAAAAGCAAAUAGAAGAGAUUUUAUUUUGGAAGACUCUAUUUUAUUUUAUUCUAUUAGGAUAAUUAAUAUUAAGAUAAUUAUUAGGAUUAUUCAAAUUUAGGAUUUUAUUUUGAUUAUCUUUGUUUAUCUUUAAUUAAAUGUAUUUAUCUUUUUAGAAUUUAAGUUCAAUUAGACUAUCUCCCUAGCACUAUAAAUAGGGGGUAAAGUGACUCUAUUUGAUGGCAUCUUUUUCUGUAAACACUCUCCCCCAAAAGUCUUUUAUUCUUUCAUAUUUCUUUUCAAUAAAAUUUCUUUUUCCAUAUUUUUAUUUAUUUGCUUUCCCUCCAUUAUCAUGAGCCACUAAAAAACCCUUCUAGCCAAAAGUUGUCAAUAUUUCCCCAAAAAGGGUUCUUGAGGCCUAGAAUCCGUACUUAGCCUUCUCGCCAAGUAUUCAUCGUUUCUCUGCACUACGGGUUGACGCUUCCGUCCAUGGCCCUUAAGAAGUAAGCUUUUCAGCAUAUGCAAAGGUGGCCGCUUUGUAUGUUUUGGAAGGACUGCAUAGUCGGUUCGUUAACUUACUGCGUCAGAGGUUAGCGAGCCAAAGAGACAAAAUGGCGUGGGAUUCGCCAUUGAGAAGCGUUGAUCUAGCAUAGAUUACUGGCUAGAGUCAGGUUCCCUAAAAAUCUUAAAUCUAAUCUUUGAAGCUGAUGGUCGUAGGCGUCCUCUUCCACUUUAACUGGCUUACUUGAGUCGAGAAGGAUCAUCCAAAAGCCAAGGAUUGAGCCCAAGGCGGAAUGAGACAACCGGAGGCUGGAACUUUCCCAUUAGAAUUUAUUUUCUCUUAAAACUCUCUUUAUUAUUUUUAUUAUUUUCGUAAUCAUAAUUUCAGUAAACUUUAAAUUCUAUUUUUAUUUUAUUUUCGCUUCCAAAAUCAAUUCUUAAAUUCUGUUUUUUAUUUUUUUCCAGGAACGCAGGUUUUCUUAGGCACGAUUCUGCCCAGGAUUUCGAUAGACAAGAAUUCGUAUAAUCCGGUCCCUGAGGAUUCGACCCUACUUCCCCUUUACUAUUUCUUUUUUGUUAUUUUACAGGGAAUAUGAUAUUUUUGGUGCUCUCAACGACCGCAUCAGCCCCGCUAUUAGUCCAAAGGCAAUUUUCUUCGCGACAAUUCAUACCCGCCACUGGAGGAUUAGCACAGUCUGAGUUCGCUUUUGCGGGAGAAGGGUAUAUGAAGAGGGUCCGAGACACUGCAAAGUCUUGGAAGAAAAUUCAUCUGAUGGAAUUGGCUCUGUAUGCUGAUACCCUCACUCAAGAUUACGACAUAUGGAGAAAGCAACGGAUGAAUAGUCAGCAAAUCCCGUCAACGAACUACACCGUCCAGAAUCUUUUCUCGGAGGAAAUGUCGUCUGAGUUAGAAAUGGCAAGACAAGAAUUUGAACGAGAAAAGGCCAAGAUGUCUCGAGAAGAAUCGCUUGAACAAAGAGACCAAAUGGCCAAGAUGAUGGAGAUGAUGUCAGCUUUAUUUAAAGGAAAGGGACCCAUGCAGAGCCCUGACAUCGAGGAACCUCGAUCAAGAGUUAAUCACAGUCAAGAUAAGCUCUAUCCCCCAGGAUUCACUCCGCCGCAUGCCCAUGCAACACAAAGAGGGUACACCCAAGGGGAACCCACAGACCUGGAGCAACGGGGGGUGCCACCUGCUCACAUAGGGCAAGGAAUGUUUGUAUCAAACCUGGGGGCUAGUCCUGCUGAUCCACUCGUUCCAGAUUUAGACGAUCCAGCAGAGAUAGCUAGGUUGAAAAUGAAUGAUCAUGAUGUUCAGCACAAGUAUAGGAGCUUGGAAGAAAGGCUCAAGGCGAUAAAAGGUACUGAAGCCUCUUCUGCAUUGAGCGCCAAAGAACUCAGCUUGGUGCCCGAUCUGGUUCUGCCUCCGAAGUUCAAGGUACCCGAUUUUGAAAAAUACGAUGGCACGAGAUGUCUAAAGGUGCAUCUUGUCUUGUUUUGUUGGAAAAUGAUGGGUUAUGUGAACGAAGAUAAGCUACUCAUACAUUGUUUUCAGGAUAGUCUAGUAGGAUCGGCUCUUCGGUGGUACAACCAGCUUAGUAGGGAAAAGAUCCGAUAUUGGAAGUACUUGGCGUCAGCCUUCUGUGAGCAGUACAAGCAUGUAUCAGAUAUAGUACCUGAUCGAAUGACCCUACAAAUGAUGGAAAAGAAACCAGCAGAAACUUUUAGACAGUAUGCGCAAAGGUGGAGAGAUAUCUCAGCCCAAGGGGAACCUCCACUAAUAAAAACGGAGAUAACCGUUUUCUUCAUCAACACUUUGAAAGUGCCGUUUUAUGACAAACUAGUGGGAAGUGCCAUGAAUGAUUUUGCGGAUAUUGUAAUAUCCGGUGAGCUCAUAGAGAAUGCCGUCAAGAGUGGUAGAAUGGAAGGUUUAGAAGGUUCAAAAAGGGCAGCACCCAUGAAGAAGAAAGAACCAGAAGCCCACAUGGUGGGAAUGGGAAGCCGUUAUACCCCUAAUCCAUAUCCAAACCAACCCCGACCUCAAAAUUAUCAUCCUUCGAAUUUCUAUUAUCCUCCUCAGACCUCUUAUUACCAAGCACCACCUCCUUCCUACCCUGUAUACGCCAUGAACAACCAAAGGCCCGUCACUAUAUUCCCACAAAAUACUCUACCCGCUCAAAGCCAACCCAGAAAUGAACCAAGACCAACAAGGCCCAAUCCCGAGAAACAGCAACUCACCCCUAUUCCCGUAUCGUAUGGGGAAAUGUACCCAUAACUCUUGGAGAAGCAAUUAAUAUCUCCCCAUUACAUGGCACCCCUAAAACCUCCAUACCCGAAAUGGUACGAUCCUAAUGCUAGUUAUGCAUACCAUGCCGGGAACCAGGGGCACUCUAUGAAAAACUGUCUGGCCUUCAAAAGGAGAGUUCAAGGACUCAUCAAUGAGGGUAUUUUGCGAUUUGAUGGCACCGGCGGUACAUCCGGGAACCCAUUCCCAAACCACGCCGAAGGGAAUAUGAGCGCAGUGGAAGAGGAGGACAAAUGACAAAGUAGAAGAUGGGUUUCUGAAAUAAGAACACCUCUGCAGAAAAUCUGGGAGGUACUAGCUAAAAAGGGGUUUCUCUAUCAUCUUAACAGAAUAUUCGAAGGAAGAAAUGAAAAAGGUCAAAGUUUUUGCGAAUUCCAUGGUUUUGAAGGACACGACAUUCAGUCCUGCAAGGAGUUCAGAAGAUUACUACAAAACAUGAUGGAUAAUAAAGAGAUUGAGGUCUUUUAUGAAGGAGAAGAGGCCGAUAAAGGAGAAAUAUGCGCCUCUGACCAUCAAUCGUUAGGUUUCCCGUAUAGCGCCGAUCGACCGUUAAUAAUUUAUUAUGACGUGAAGAAGGAGCCGGUGAAACUAAAAGUGAUAAUCGAGGUACCAUUUCCUUUCCCCUACAAGGACGAUAAAGCAGUACCAUAGAAAUAUGACGUCAAUAUCGUCAUACCUGAAGAUGAAAAAACCAAAGCCAUGACUUGAAGCGUUGGGGAAGUAGGUUAUUUCACUCGUAGUGGAAGAUGUUAUUCGAAAGAAGUCGAACCAGUGAAGAAGAACAGUGACUUGAAAUAGAAAGGAAAAGCACUAAUGCGUGUGACCGAAGAUGAACAUGAAACUGUGCCUGAGCAAGAAGCUAAAAAUUCUGUGGACGAGGAGGAAGCACAGGAAUUCUUAAAAUUUAUUAAGCACAGUGAGUACAACGUGGUGGAACAAUUGAGUAAGCAGCCAGUACGAAUUUCGGUAUUAUCUCUGCUGUUAAAUUCAGAACCUCACUGGAACGGCUUGUUAAAGGUGUUGAAUCAAGCUUACGUGGCAAACAAUAUAUCCGUUGAAAAACUGGAUAGGUGGGUGAACAACUUGAAUACGGAUAAUUUCAUUUCUUUUAGUGAUGAUGAAAUACCGCCCAAUGGUAGAGGCUCAGUGAAAGCAUUGCAUAUCAUAACCCGUUGUAAGGGCUAUAUAAUACCGAACAUGCUCAUCGACAAUGGAUCGGUACUCAAUGUCAUGCAUUUGGCCACACUUUCUAGGAUUCCGAUGGAUUUUUCCUAUCUAAGGCCCCGCCAUUCUACAGUAAGGGCAUUCGAUGGAACAAGACGAGAAGUCAUGAGAAAAAUCGAGAUCCCUCUAGAAGUGGGUCCCUAUAUAUAUGAUGUUGAGUUUCAAGUCAUGGACAUUACACCAUCAUACAAUUGUCUCUUGGGAAGACCUUGGAUCCAUUUUGCUGGAGCAGUCCCAUCAUCCCUCCAUCAAAAGGUGAAAUUCAUCAUGGAUGGCUGUUUGGUCACCGUUGAGGGAGAAGAAGACAUUGUAGCAUCUAUUUCUACCGACGCACCAUACAUUGAAGUGAGUAAAGAUGCUACAGAAUGUUCCUUCUGAUCUCUUGAAUUUGUCAAUGCCGCAUUCGUCGCUGAGGGAAAUAGAAUUCUUGAGCCAAAACUGUCGAGAAAUAUUAGGAUAGGUGUCAAACUGACUGUAGGAAGGGGGGCUCGAGCAAGGAAAGAUUUGGGAAGGUACCUACAAGGAAUAGUCAGGGCUCUAAAGCCAGUGCACUACAAGGCCCGAUACGGUUUGGGGUUCCAGCCGGACAUGCGUCAAAGAAGAAAAUAGUGGAAGAAGGAUAAUGAGAGAAGGAUUGCGAGAAUUUUGGGCCGAAAAGUAGAAUAAGAGCCCAUAACGUACCCUCCUUUGUCAAAAAUAUUUACAUCUGCAGGGAUGAUAUACCCCGGACAGGAUAAUAUACAAAGCACGCUAUUAUUAAUUGAAAGGGGUCUUCAGAAUGUCAGUAUAAAUGUCAUUGACAAAGGAAGUGAGGCUAUUAAAGAUGUUUCAACGAUACGCCCUUGUCCUCCUGGUUUCAUGUUGAACAAUUGGACUGCCGAAGACCUUCUUGUAGUUUAUAAGUCUUCAGAGUAAUGCUCAAACAUUACCCCUCUAUUGUGUCCUUAGAUAUAAUAGAAUUUUUUUGUAAGAGCUUGCAUUCGCUCUUUAUCAUUUAAAUGAAUAUCAAUGAAGAUGCAUUUUGUCACGAUCUUUCGCAUUAUCACUAAUUUCAUAACCAUCUUCUCAUUUCAUAGCCUAUCUGUACAUUUGCCUCAUACCAUGCCAUAACAUUUUGUUUGUUGGUUCCAAUAUUGGGAUGCCCCUCUAUAGUUUCCUUUUUCAUUUAACUUUCAGGUGCUCGGAUAUCAACAGCAUGAACAAACCCGUUACGAGUCCUGAAAUCGAUUUUGAGAAGGCUAUUUGUUUAGGAGAAUUCAAAGUUGAAGAAAAUGCCGAAGACUAUGUCUCGUCCUCUGACUUGCUAAGAAUGGUAGAGCGAGAAGAUAAACAGAUUUUGCCUCAUCAAGAAUCUGUUGAAACAAUAAAUUUGGGAACUGAAGAAAAGAAGCAAGAGGUGAAGAUUGGGACCUCCAUUUUAGGGAGCACCAGGCAUAAUUUGAUUGCUUUGUUCCUCGAGUACAAAGAUGUAUUCGCAUGGUCAUAUCAAGACAUGCCAGGAUUGGAUGAAGAUGUAGUAGUCCAUAAGGUCCCAUUAAAGUCAGAAUGCAAACCCAUUCAACAAAAGCUAAGAUGAAUGAGACUUGAGAUGUUAUUGAAAAUAAAAGAGGGAGUCAAGAAGCAAUUUGAUGCUGGCUUCCUACAAGCCUCCAAAUAUUCAGAGUGGGUGGCUAACAUAGUCCCGGUACCAAAGAAAGACGACAAAGUACGAAUGUGCGUGGAUUAUCGUGACUUGAAUCGAGCAAGUCCCAAAGAUAAUUUUCCCUUACCACACAUUAAUAACACAUCAAAGUAUUCAUUGUUUUCUUUCAUGGAUAGAUUCUCGGGGUACAAUCAGAUCAAGAUGGCCCCUGAAGAUAUGGAGAAAACUACUUUCAUAACAAUGUGGGGAACAUUUUGCUACAAGGUGAUGCCGUUCGGAUUAAAGAAUGCUGGGGCAACGUAUCAGAAGGCUAUGGUAACAUUAUUCCAUGACAUGAUGCAUAAAGAAAUAGAAGUCUACGUCGACGAUAUAAUUGCUAAGUCCCGAGGGGAAGAAGAGCAUGUAGUGAACCUGAAAAAGUUGUUCAACAGACUGAGAAAGUUUCAGCUAAAGCUCAAUCCGGCCAAAUGUACGUUUGGGGUUACCUCGGGAAAGUUGCUAGGCUUCAUUGUCAGUGAAAGAGGUAUCGAGGUUGAUCCAGAUAAAAUAAAAGCCAUUCAAGAGUUGCCACCUCCGCGCACGCAAAAAGAAGUCAAAGGAUUUUUAGGAAGGUUGAACUACAUCGCUCGGUUUAUUGUUUAACUCACUAACCAGUGCGACCCAAUCUUUCGACUCCUUCGAAAACAUAAUCCUGGAGAAUGGAACGAGGAGUGCCAAGUGGCUUUUGACAAGAUAAAACAGUAUUUGUCUAGUCCUCCAGUGCUAGUACCACCAAUGCCGGGAAGACCAUUGAUAUUGUAUUUGACUGUGUUCGAGAAUUCAAUGGGUUGCGUACUGGGGCAACACGUCGAGUCAGGAAAGAAAGAAAAAACAAUCUACUACCUCAGCAAAAAGUUCAAUGAACACGAGGCAAAGUAUUCGUCCAUUGAAAAAUACUGUUGCGCUCUGGUUUGGGUAGCUCGGAGACUUAGGCAAUAUAUGUUGUAUCAUACGACAUGGUUGAUUUCAAAGCUAGAUCCAAUAAAGUACAUGAUGGAGUCACCUGCACUCACUGGAAGAAUGGCACGAUGGCACGAUGAUAAAUCUUACUAUCGGAGUACGACAUCAUCUAUGUGAGUCAAAAGUCGAUAAAAGGAAGUGCAAUAGCUGAUUUCUUAGCAGAUCGAACAACGGAGGAAUACGAGCCAUUGAGAUUUGAUUUCCCGGAUGAAGACUUGAUGUGCAUCACGGGAAAAGAAUGCGAGUCAUUAAAAGAGAAGUCAUGGAAGAUGAGCUUUGAUGGUGCAUCGAAUGCAUUGGGGCAUGGGAUUGGAGCGGUUUUAGUAUCACCAGAAGGGAACCAUUAUCCGUUCACUGCCAGACUGAAUUUCUUUUGUACCAAUAACAUAGCGGAAUAUGAGGCCUGUAUCAUGGGACUUCGUGCAGCUAUUGAACGAAACAUUGAAAUCUUAGAGGUGUAUGGAGACUCAGCAUUGGUGAUAUACUAAAUCCAUGGAGAAUGGGAAGUGAGAGAUUCAAAAUUAUUCAAAUACUAUGAUCUAGUGUCAGGACUGAUUAAAAAAUUCAAAGAAAUAACUUUUAAUUACUUCCCACGAGAAGAAAACCAAUUGGCUGAUGCCCUGGCCACUUUGGCUUCAAUGUUCAAAGCAAGUAGAGAAACAGAAAUAAUGCCCCUCAAAAUGAGCAUAUACGAGGUCCCUGCACACUAUUUCAGCAUUGAAAAAGAGCCAGAUGGACGGCCAUGGUUUCAUGAUAUCUUAGAAUACAUCAAAAAUAAAAGGUAUCCCGAGCAAGCAAAUGAGAACGACAAAAGAACAAUUAGAAGAAUGGCAACGGGGUUUGUUCUUGAUGGGGAUAUCUUGUACAAAAGAGGAAAAGAUCAAGUGCUCUUGAGAUGCGUGGAUGCUGCUGAAGCUAAAAAAAUACUUGAAGAUAUCCAUGAGGGAAUUUGUGGGACACAUGCCAAUGGUUUCACUAUGACCAGGAAGAUCAUGAGACUCGGUUAUUACUGGCUAACGAUGGAAAGUGACUGCAUUAGUUUUGCAAGAAAAUGCCACAAAUGCCAAAUUUAUGGUGAUAAAAUUCAUGUAGCCCCUUCGCCCCUUCAUGUCAUGACUUCUCCGUGGCCUUUUUCCAUGUGGGGCAUGGAUGCUAUAGGACCAAUUUCCCCAAAAGCUUUUAAUGGACACCGGUUUAUCUUUGUGGUCAUUGAUUACUUCACAAAAUGGAUAGAAGCCGCUUCGUUUGCCAAUGUGACAAAGACCGCAGUUUGUAGGUUUUUGAAAAAGGAAAUCAUUUGUCGAUAUGGUUUGCCUGAAAGAAUCAUUUCAGAUAACGCCAUGAACCUGAACAACAAGAUGAUGAAAGAAGUAUGUGAACAAUUUCAAAUAAAGCAUCAUAACUCAUCACCCUAUCGCCCGAAAAUGAACGGAUCUGUUGAGGCAGCCAAUAAGAAUAUUAAGAAGAUCAUUGGGAAAAUGACCGAGACAUAUAAAGACUGGCACGAAAAGCUACAUUUUGCUUUGUAUGCAUAUCACACAUCUGUACGGACAUCUACGGGGGCAACUCCUUUCUCUCUGGUCUAUGGAAUGAAAGCUGUGCUACCUAUCGAAGUUGAGAUCCCCUCUCUAUGAGUCUUAAUGGAAUCAAAACUAGAAGAAGUAGAAUGGGUCCGAGCUCGAUAUGACCAGUUAAACCUUAUUGAAGAAAAACGUCUGAAGGCAAUCUGCCAUUGACAGAUGUACUAGAAGAGAAUGAUCACAGCCCAUGACAAGAAAGUACGGCCAAGAGAAUUCCACGAAGGAAAACUCGUACUGAGAAAGAUUCUCCCAAUACAAAAAGACUUCCGAGGAAAAUGGGCACCAAAUUAGGAAGGCCCAUACGUCGUAAAGAAGGUAUUCUCGGGCGGAGCUUUGAUUCUCACCGAGAUGGAUGGGAAGGAGUUACCGAAUCCAGUGAACUCAGAUGCUGUAAAGAAAUAUUAUGCUUGAAAAAGGAAACCAAGAUGAAAACCCGAAAAGGGCAUCUUAAAAAAAAAAGAGAAAAAAUAAAAAAGAAAAAGAAAAAGGGGGAUCAAGGUGAAAACCCGAAAAGAGCGUAUUGAUUAAACACAAAAGAUUAGGAUGAAAACCCGAAAAGCAAACCCGAGCUUAAAGAAUAAGGCAUUUCGAACGGUGGGUCAAACAGCGAGACUACAGUAUUUGAAGCAUUUAUGAAAACUCGAAAUCUUUUACGUAAAAAGUCAUGCUCGAAAAGAUUCUAGAUGAAGGAAUGUGGAAGAGUUCAUGUGUUGAAUAUCUAGAGCAUUUGUAUCCGUUGAAUGCGAUCCCUUUUCUCUUUAUGACACUUUUUACUAUCAUUGAUUAACUUUCUUUGUUUGCUACAUUUGAAAUAAAUAAAUGAGAGGUAGCCUUUUUGCCCCUACCUAACCAUUUUUAUGCAUCUCAUUAUGUGUUUAUUUACAUGAUAAAUAGUGAAAUGACAUAUUCUAAACAAAAGAAGUGUUAAGCAUUACCUGAAUGGAAAUUUGACAAAUACAAGAGCCUCAAAGCAAGGACAAAGUUCAACCAAGGACAAAAGAGUGAUAUCUGAGAAACACAGAUUACUCGUGAAACUUGGAGACGGGUACAAAGCUUGAAGAGAAAGUCAAGAGUCAAAGCAAUGAACGCAGAUCAUCAAAAAUCGUGACGAAAAAGGAGCAUACGACAAACAUGCCUAAGGCGCAUUGCAUAAUCAUGUAGGCAUAAAGGCAUUUAAGACAAACAUGUGCAUAUCAUGAUAACAUCAUGCAUGACAUAUACAGGUACUCCAGCAAAGAAAGAAGAUAUGAUAAUAGGUGCACUGAAUCAAAGGAAAAAACGCCUGAGUUCUACCAAUGACAAGUUUUGGUAUUUUGAUGUUUUAAUUCAUGUUUUCAAAAAUCAACUCAUAUUGCGAGAGGUGAGUUGAGACUUUUAAUUUCUGUUUUUCAAAAAAAUCAACUCGUAUUGCGGGAAGUGAGUUGGGCCUCGAGUUACACGCUGUAAUAUCCUGAUUUUGGGCCUAGUCGGAAUAGUGGUUUCGUGACCAUAAAAUCCAAGAUAGAAAUAAUUAUUUUAUGAUUAUUUUGAGGUCUAUGAUAUGAUUGCAUGAUUGUGUGAAAAUUUCGUGAAGAAAUUUUAUGCAUAAAGUGCUUAAAUUGAAAUUAGGGACUAAAUCGAAUAAUUUGUAAAACUUGCAUUCUAGAAGUUUCUAGUAUGAAAUUGUUUUGAAAUAUUAAUUAUGAGGUCUUAAAUAGAAAUUUUACCAAUUUCUAAGUCUAUGGACAAAAAUUGGACAUGAAUGGAAUUUUUGGAAAGUUUAGUAGUAAGGGCAUUUUGGUCAUUUAGGGGUAAAAUGAAUUAAAAUACAAAAUUAAAAGCCAAUUUUGCUCAUCUUCAACCCCAUGGCCGAAUAUAGCAAGGAGAAACCAUGGCUAGGGUUUUUAAAGCUUCCAAGCUCGAUUGUAAGUCCGUUCUAGCCUCGUUUUUAAUGAUUUUUACGUUUUUGGAGUCUUGGUAGCUCGAUUUAGCUUAUGCUAGCAAUAAUUUAACCUAGGGUUUAUAUUUGGAAAAAUACCCAUAGGUGAAAUUUGUGUAUUUUGGUGUUUUAUGAUAAAAUAUGAGGUUUUAAAUUAUGUUAGACAACUUGUGCUACUCGGUUUUAAGUGAAAACGAGCAAAAGGGCUUAAUAGGUAAAAAUACCUAAUAGUCAUAAGUACAUGUUAGAGUGAGAAUUUGAUGUUGCCAUAGAAGGUAAAAAUGAUCAGCAUGUCAUAAAACAUAAGAAAAUAGGCUGAAAUUUAAUUUACGAGCUUUGGGGCAAAAGUGUAAAUAUGCAAAAGUUUAGGGGCAAAAUUAUAAUUUUUCCAAAAUAUGAUUUUGGUUCAAUUUGAAUAAUGUGAGUCGUAAUUAGACUAUAUUUUAAAUGAUAGAGCAAGGAAAACUGAAACUCGGGCUAAAAUGGGGAAAAUACCAAGUUGUGGACGAAAUGGUAAAAGUAGCCUUUUUCGCAUACGUGGUAAGUUCAUAUGUAAAUGUUGGUAACAUAGUUAUUGUUUUAAAUGUUUUAAUGUUAUUUAAAUGAUAUGAUAAUUAUUAUGAAAUAUCAUACUUGUGACAAUUGUUUGAUAAUAUAUCAAAUUAUGUGAUAUACUUGGAAAAUGUGAAAUACUACCGAGUAUCGGUAUCGACAUUCCAUAGAAGAUGGUUGAGACAUAUGAUUGCGAAAAAUGUCCCGUUGAACCUUAGGAAUGGAUUAGGAUACAAGUGACAUGUCACUGGGAUAUUUGGGCAUCCGAACUCGUUGAGUUGAGUCCGAGUUCACUUAUGGAUGCGAGCGUCCGAACUCGUUGAGUUGAGUCCGAGUUCGAGAGAUGUAACUAGGCAUCUGAGCUCGUUGAGUUGAGUCCGAGUUCACUUAUGGAUGCGAACGCCCGAGCUCGUUGAGUUGAGUCCGAGUUCACUUAUGGGCGGGUUACAUGGUAGCUUGGCCACAUAUGUGGCACUUAUGUGCAAACUUUCCAUGUAUCCGAAUUAUAUUCCGAUGUGUUCAACGGGUAAAGUUCUACUGAAAUGGAGAAAUACUCAAGAUGAAAGGGACGUAUUGGUAAGUGUUGUGAAAUGGGUACUUUGAACAGGUAUGUACUUAACCCUCAAGUUGAAAAAUCGAUAUAACAACAAUAUGGUAAGAUGAUAAAUGAAAAUGUGAUAUGAAUGUCUUGGUGAUGAUUAUGCAAAUGAUGUUUUAUGUUUGCUUAUAUGGUUAUGUUACUUGCUAUUUGCAUAUGAACUUAUUAAGCAUUUAUGCUUACUCCCUCCUUUUCAUUCCUUGUAGUGUUGACAAGCCAGCUCGGAAAUCGGGAAUGGUCGGAGGCACACUCACACUAUCCGUAUACCAUCUUGGCAUAAUGGCUUGUAUAUUUUGAGUAUGGCAUGUAUAGCAUUAUAAUCAUUUUGUGUAUAUGGUCUUAUGAUAUGGUUAUUGAGUGGUAUGGAAAUGCUUGGUAAUGAUUAGCCAUUGGAAUGGCUAAUCAUGAUCAUAUUUGGUGUUAUGUAUGUCAAAUUGCUAGCUAAUCCAUGGAAACCAUGAAAUAGGUAAAAUUUACCAUAAAAUAGAUUCAGACAGCAGCAGUGACGUGAGUUUGAAAAAUCACUAAAAAUAGUAGAGAUACAAUUAGAUGAUGAAUAAGUUAUGGAAUCGAAUCUUGAUGAGUCUAUUUUCAUAUGGAAGAAGCAAAACAGGUAUAUGAGCUAUAUUUUAUGAGAUGUUUAAAUUUUUGUGAGACAGGGCCAGAGCGAUUUCUGGAUCCCCUGUUCUGACUUUGGAAAUUCACCAUAAAUUUUACAAAGAUAAUUAGAGUUCAUGAUUUAUAUGUACAGAUUUCUUAUUGAGUCUAGUUUUAUUAGAGACAAAUGGCAUAGUCAUUGAAUCUCUGUACAGGGAGAUAUCUGAUUCGUAAUACACAGAGGUCAGAGUAGUCGAACCCUGAAACAGGGGAGACUUUAACUAAUAAACUGUACUAAUUGGCCCGACCAAAAAUUCUAGAAAAAAAUUAGUAGAUAUAUAUAUGAGUCUAGUUUCAGGAAAAAUUUUCGGAAUUGGAUUUUGAGUUUCAGAACUUGAGAUAUGAUUUUUAAAGAGACUGUGAUGCAGUUAGCCAGCUUGUUUGGAAAUUUUAAAAUGAAUUGUAUGAGCUGUUUAAGUAAUGAAUUAAGUCCGUUAACACCUCGUGUUCGACUCCGGAAACGGUCUCGGGUACGGGGCGUUACACACGCUGAGGUAUUUUCAAAUUCUAUUUUUUUCAAAAUCAACUCAUAUUGCGAGAGGUGAGUUGAGCCUCAGGACACGCUGAGGUAAUUUCAAAUUCUAUUUUUCAAAUUUCUGUUUUCAAAAAUCAACUCAUGUUGCGAGAGGUGAAUUGAGCCUCAGGACACACUGAGGUAACUUCAAUUUCUUUUUUUUUUAAAUUUUUUCUUUUCAAAAAAAUCAACUCAUAUUGCGAGAGGUGAGUUGAGCCUUGGCUAUGCUUAGGUAUUUCCAAUUUCUGUUUUAGUUCAUGUUUUCAAAAAUCAACUCAUAUUGCGAGAGGUGAGUUGAGCCUUUUAAUUUCUGUUUUUCAAAAUCUACUUUUCAAAUCAAGUUUUAAAAAGACCAACUCAUAUUGCGAGAGAUGAGUUGAGCCUUGGCUCACGUGUUGAGCUAUUUUCAAUUUCUGUUUUUAAUAACUGUUUUUAAGAGUCAAUUCAUAUUGCGAGAAAUGAGUUGAGCUCAAGAUCACAUGCUGAAUAAAGAAUAAAGAUUGAAGCUGAUAGAAGACACCAGACUUGGUCUCCCUAAAGUUGCAGUGGAGCAGGUCAAAAGCUGCGAGUCUUGUCUCCCUAAAGUUGCAAUGAAGCUGAUCAAGGAUAACAAAUCUUGCCUUUCUGAAACGACAGAAGAGAAGAUCACAAACCUCAUCUCACUGAAGCGAUAGAAGAGUAGAUUGAAGUUGUAGAUUUUAUCUUUCUGAAGUUACAAGUGAAGCAGUUCGAAGCCACAAGUUGCAUAUAAUUAAAGUCACAUCGGAGUAGAUUGAAGCUACAAGGCAUAUGUCAAAAGAUGCAAUGGAUUGAACCAAAGCUGCAAGAUACAGUGGACUGGAAAGAGACUAUCUGAACAAGAAUUGCACUAAAGAAGUCAAAGCUCAGCAAGACUGGGCAAAAUUGGCCUUUCUUUGUGUCUUUGCUCUAUUCCCGUUACACGACAAUGAGCAAAGAGGGGCAGCUGUUAUAGACCAAUUUUGGGCCAUUUACAAUGCCCUCAGCCCAGUUUCAUUUACAUUAAACUAAUACCCAUCUAAGUUAACCCAAAUUGAACCUAAAACUACCCAAACCCAUUAACUACCCACAGCUCGUUUACAAUAUUCAGCCCAACUAACCUAAACCCAAAUACUCAACCCAAGCCCAGGAGCCUAACUUUAGACUUAGGGUUUCAGAAACUGAAACCCUAACCUUCCCACUUGCGCCGAACCUACCCACCUACCCCUAUCGACAAAGUCACCUCAGCGCCGCAACACCCAUGCCAUGGCCACCAACUCUCCCUACUUACCCUCUGUCACCGGACUGCUCCACCUGCACAGACAAGACACACAACAGCAACAGAAAAUAGAUAUAGAUAGUGUAACCAAAAUGGUUAUAAAAAGGCCGAUUAAAAAGCUUUGUGGUUGUUGGAUUUUUAUUGAAAUAAUACAAGAAUAACAUCAAAAGCAAAAAAAUAGUGCAAAGUCAGAUUCAAACAUCACGAAUCAGAGAGCCGAAAUACAAAAUCCAAUGUGAUUUUAAUUUCAAUUUUGUUUCUUUUUCUCACACAUAUAUAUU
rnacentral:lncRNA from 1 species